rnacentral:tRNA from 1 species
GCCUUUGUGGCGCAAUUGGUAGCGCACCCGACUUGUAAUCGGGCGGUUGUCGGUUCGAGUCCGACGGAAGGCU